rnacentral:rRNA from 1 species
CCCCUAUUCUUAGUUGCCAGCAUGUCAUGGUGGGGACUCUAAGAAGACUGCCUGCGCAAGCAGAGAGGAAGGAGGGGAUGACGUCAAGUCAUCAUGGCCCUUACGCCCAGGGCUACACACGUGCUACAAUGGCGUAUACAAAGUGUUGCGAGCCAGCGAUGGCAAGCCAAUCACAAAAAGUACGUCUCAGUUCGGAUUGCAGGCUGCAACUCGCCUGCAUGAAGUUGGAAUCGCUAGUAAUCGUAGAUCAGCAAUGCUACGGUGAAUACGUUCCCGGACCUUGUACACACCGCCCGUCAAGCCAUGGAAGUUAGGAGGACCUGAAGACAGUUGCUGCAAGGCGCUGUUUAGGGUUAAACCGAUGACUGGGGAUAAGUCGUAACAAGGUAAAUCGAAUUCC